rnacentral:rRNA from 1 species
GACGAACGCUGGCGGCGUGCUUAACACAUGCAAGUCGAACGGGUCUGCCCUGUUUUUUGCGGGGUGGGUCAGUGGCGAACGGGUGAGUAACACGUGAGUAACCUGCCCCUCACUUCUGGAUAACCGCUUGAAAGGGUGGCUAAUACGGGGUGUUCUGGCUGUGCCGCAUGGUGUGGCUGGGAAGGAUUCACUUUUGUGGUGUUUUGGUGGGGGAUGGGCUCGCGGCCUAUCAGCUUGUUGGUGGGGUGAUGGCCUGCCAAGGCUUUGACGGGUAGCCGGCCUGAGAGGGUGGGCGGUCACACUGGGACUGAGAUACGGCCCAGACUCCUGCGGGAGGCAGCAGUGGGGGGUAUUGCACAAUGGGCGGAAGCCUGAUGCAGCGACGUCGCGUGAGGGAUGGAGGCCUUCGGGUUGUGAACCUCUUUCGCCGGUGAAGGAGGUCCUGCUCUUUGUGGUGGGGUUGACGGUAGCCGGGUUAUGAAGCGCCGGCUAACUACGUG